rnacentral:lncRNA from 1 species
AUCACUUCAGCAUCCCAGACAGGACAAGAAGGAAGUCUUUGAGUAUGCUCAGCGCGUGCCAUCAUGGGGCCAUGUUCUUCCCCUUUGCUCUUGGAGAAUAGACAAAGCUACCCAGCCCAGCCACAGCCUCAUAAUCUUGUUCUACCUCCCUCUCCAGCCUCAACUAUUUCCAGGCUCCAGCUCAAGUCAUACAUCAGAAAGGUCAUGGGCAGAGAGCCACAGAGUUGACUCAGCCCACUGGAAGGACAUAGACUGUGAGUGAGGAAGGAGUUCAUCUUCAGAGGAAAGCUGAGGGCUCUUAUCAGAAGAAGAAAUGGAACCCAGAGAGGAAGAAACAAACAGGACAUCAUAAUUCUCCCACUGGUUCUCAAAAUAUUCUCUUCCUAGGACAUAGGAGGAGAAAACACUGCCCUCCUUAAUUAAGAGAUGAGGAAAUUGAGGUGAGUACCAAUGGACAUCCCACAUUCCCACAGCUACCACAAGGUGGAGGUCAGACUAAACCCUCAAUCUCAGGACUUCUGGGCUGGUGUAGCCUCUAUUGAUCUCUCUGUGGAAGAGUAUUCAGUCAGUCAGUGUGGAAGUGUAGUCAGUCCUCUG